rnacentral:lncRNA from 1 species
AUUUCGAUUGAAGAUUGGGACUCCCGGCUGAAUGGAAACCCCCCCAAUUAUCCUUUUUUUCAAUCCGACCUAGGGGACCGGAUUGAAAAUUAACUUCAGACGGAAUGAAUUUGUUCGAAUUAAAUUUAACUUUUUUUAAGCUUAUUUUUAAAUUAAAAUAUAAGUUUAAGUUUAAAAAUUAUAUUUAUAAAUUUAAAUUUUAAUUUGAACUUAAAUUAAAAAUUAAAUUCAAUCAAGCAUUUCAAAUCUAAUUUAUAAAUUUGAAUUUAAAUUUAAAUUUAAUUUAAAAUCUAAAGUUUUUAUUCAAAUUUUUAUUUUAAAUUAAAAUUAAAAUUUAUGGAUUCAAAUUGAAUUAAAAUUUAAAUUAUAUUUUUAAGUUUGAAUUUAAAUCAAAAAUUUUGAUACCCAUUCAAUUUCAAAUUUUAAUUUUUUUAAAAAAUAUAUUUAAAUUUUUUAUAUUACUUUAAAAUUUUGACAUAAAUUUUUAAUAUUUAAUUUUCACUUUAAAUUUAAACUAAUAUAUUAUAAAGAUAAAAUUGACAUAUUAAUUUGAUUACGAUUCUGAUAUCUAUCUAAACCAAACAUUGACAAUGGGAAUGGAUCAUUCCAAUUCCGAUUUAAAUAGUGAACCAAACUGAAUAAAGUAAUGAAUCAUUCAGCUUCCGUUUUCAACUUAUUCCUAUGUCGAUUUCGAUACUGAUUCUGACAAACACACCCUAAAACUUCAAAAUAUUAUGCUUGUCCGCUCCAAAGUAAAAAAUAUCACAAAUAUCUCUCUAAAUAUACAAAUAUAUUUUUACUAUCCUUUUAAAUAUUCACCAAUUCUUUUAUUGCCUAUAGCUUUUAGUCCUAAGCCUUUCUAUAUAUAUAUACAAGAGCGCUUAUGAUAUUUUUUAAUUUAGAGAAAAAUUUAUAAAAUUACAACUUUUUGAGAGAGAAUAGAAGAUAUAACCAUAAAAUGUACCGCUAAAAGUAUAGGCUAAGAAUGCAAUCAAUCUCCUACAAAUAUCUUUAUUUGCACUUAAAGCCAUUUUGAAUAUGACUCGGCCUAAUUUUGCCUCUCGUCGUAGAGGAGCAUGAUUGUCCCUUUAAGCCAACAAUCUCCAAACACCUACAUAAAUUUGCAACAUACUAUAAUUAAACCCAUGACCUCUAACUUUGAUACUACUUAUUCAAUUGUUGGUGUUAACUAUUAAUUUCAAAACUUGAGUGGUAAGAAAGUUGCAACUAAUUUCACUUAAAACGUAGAGAAACAUCCCCCAUUGGUUUUGAUUGUGAUUUGAUCUGACCAUCGUCUAGCCACUUUGAACAUGACUCGAUCCAAUCCAACCUUCCGUCAUUCUAAAUAUGACUUGAUCCAAUCCGGUCUUCUUUCACAGGGCAGGAUAUGCUGCCUCCUAUAAGCCAACACAAACCACCAGCACGAAAAAGUUAGUACAGCUAUUAGUUCUAAUAUACACGUCGCAUAUAAGCUUCUCACACUCUUCCAUACAAUCCGAUGUAGGAAUAUUGGGUUGUCAUAUUCUGCAUGUGCAGUCAAUCUGAUACGCAACAAAUUUGACUUAUAGCACACGAAGAUUAUACUCAAUACAAUCAUUACUACCAACUCUGUCACUUAAAUGUCACCAUGUAAUAAGCCAUGCAAGCAAAUCAGUAUCAUAACAAUAUUUCAAUUAUGUUUCAUGCAGCUAAAGUCCACAACGACAAUCAUUUUAAGUAUGACUUAACAGGUGUAACAGUAAGAAAAUAUAGUAAUAUGCUAAUCAACAUGAUCAAUAAUUUAUUCUCGAUAGAUUUUUGGGAUUCAAUAGAGGAAACAUAUAUAUGACAAGGUAAGGAUGAGAGUGGUCUCGCGUUAGAGGAGAAGAAGAAGAGAUCGAAGAGAGUUUAGGGUGAGAGAGUAGAGAUUCAAAAACCCUAUUUAUAGAGCUUUCAGGAAGGCCUCGGCCGAAUAGCCAAACACCUGCAUCGACCAAUUUGGAUAGCUCGAGUCUACCAACUGCCAAGCCUGAUACUUUCUGAGGAUUCUCUCUGCUUUCCCAAGCGAUCUUCCAUUCAAAUUUAAAAACUAGUCAAUCAUACCUUGACAGCCAAUGGACUGCCAGUGGGCGAUAGACUGUCACGUAUUCAGGUCUCCAAAACCUUUUAACUUGUACAAUCAAAGCUACCCUUGGUCGACCAUUCACUAUCGUUCGAUCGAUCACUGGUGUGUGGUGGACUUGCUACGUGUUCGUGUCAAACUAACAGAUAAAGCCCACUAACCGUGCAAUGAUCGAUACGAAUGAAGCUGAUCGUAGAUCAACCACCAGUCUACCCCUGGCCAACCACCUGUCUUCUAAAAUCACAAAUUCACAAAUUCAAGAGAAUUCGGACUUCCAUAACAAAUUUCACGAAAAAUAAUUAAUACAAAGACAGAUCUUUUUAGUAAUCCCCUUGGCGUAUCUCUCGUGUGUGUCGUGCCCUAAAGUCCUAAUUGUGUUGUCAUUACGAUCAACAGAUAACAGUAUCCAGGAGCACAUAUUAGGCCCUCUCUAAACCCGUUAUUGUUUUUCUCUUUUUUUGUUUUGAGAGAUACGUGGCAAGGUACCCACUUCGUUUAUUUUAUUUAGAAAUAAACUUAGCUAGAAAUGUGAAUCAACUAGGAUUCGAACUUGGGAUCUCGGGUACCAACCACCAAACCUUUUGCCACUUGCUCUAGGGACGACUUGCUACUGUUAGUUUGCAAAAAUAAUGUUCUGAUGCCCAAAAUUGAUCGUGGCGAUGCGUUGUGCCUUAGAAUCCUAGUCCCUUGACUUAUGUGCUCCUAGCUAGGGUAAAUUGCACUAUUAGUCCAUGAAGUUUUAGCUGGAGUUUUAUUUUUUGUUCUCAAACUUCGAUUUUCAGGCUCUAAACUUUUAAUCAUAUAUCAUUAGUCCCUGACUUUCUAUAGUACUGUUUCAAUCAAGUGCUUACCUUAAAUUAAAAAAACAAUGCUUGCACUGUUUAUUCUUACAUUAUGAAUUAUUAUUUUCUUCAUCCGAUUUCAUAAUUUCUAAUUUAAAAUUUGUAUGUUUACAAAAGAAAAAAUAUAUAUAUAAUUCAUUGGGUGAUACGAUCGAAAUAUCUACUACAAAUACAUAAUUUGACAGUCUCAAAAGGUGUACGUGGCAUUUUUUAACACUUCCAAGUCAUACAUCCUUUUUCUCACUUUUUCUCUCUCUAAAUCUGCUUCUUUCAUCUCUUCUUUUCUUCUCUCUCCUCCCACUCAUACCAAAAUGUCUUGGAAAGGUAAGAUACUCCUUAACUCCUUCCCCAAAAUUUUUUUUUCUUUUUCCAAGAUAUUCUUGGAUAUUCCUGGCUUCUUCCCAAGGUUGGACUUUGACCAAGAUAUUGCCAACUAGCACUCUCUUUGCCUUCUACAGAUAACCCCUCCCUCUUCUCUCUCUCUCUCUCUCUCUCUCUCUCUCUCUCUCUUCCUCUCUUAAGGUGGACCCCUCUCUUUUCUCUCAGGCCCCCCUCUUUCUCUCUGUCUCUCUCUCUCUCUCUCUCCCUCCCCUCUCUCCUCUCUAUCUUAGCCUAAAAUGAUGCUGAGAUUGAUGAACCAAUCCCAAUCGAGGGUGUCGCGGAGCAACACGGCUGCGGCGUGGAGGGUGUUGGCGACCAUGGUGGGGCCGCGGUAGGUAACGAGGUUGGCCUUGAAGAUCAUCUUGACGUUGCGGCGGGCGGCGAGGACGGGGUGGAACGCGAGGCUGUCGCGGAGCGCGUCGCGCUCGGAGGAGGAGAAGGAGGAGAGGAAGGGGGGAGGGGCAUUAACCUCCUCUCCGCCGCCGCGCUCCUCCGCUACUCCCACUCCGCCCCCGCCUCCCUCCUCGCCUAGGGCGCCCUCUCCCUCGGCCCCUUCGUCCCUCCUUUGCCACCGGCGGAGAUCCCCGCGACGGCCGUGGCCCCCCUCUUCCCGAUCCCGCCCCCGCGGUCGCAGACGACGCCACCCCUGCGGCCGCCGACGACGCCGCCCCCAUGGAUGGCCGGAGCCCUAGCCGCUGAUCGCGAUCCCGCAAGCACGCUCACUCCCCAAACUCUAACCCCCCUCCGAUCGUCCCUAAACCCAUUCCCUACAAUUAAAACAAAUAAAUUAAAAAAAUUAAAAACAUAAUAUAUCGAGGUAUCUUAGCAUUUGAGCAUCAACGGGGGUCGCUUCGCCUCAACCUCAUCUUGCUGUUGAGGAAUCUUAGAGUGAUUACUGUGAACAUCUCAUAUACCCUAAAAAAACAAAUUAAAAAAAUUUUUAAAAAAUGACUUUUGCAGGGGUCGUGGUGAAAUUUUAAAAAAAUUUUAAAUUAUUUAGAGCAUAUAAAUGUUAACCGCAGCGAAGCGCGGGUUCUAUACUAGUGUGAUUAAAAAAAUAGUCAACAAAUGAAUGGAGCAUAGAUAUUAGACGGAUUAGAUGUAGCAAUAUUUAUUCUCCAAUUGUAAAAUAUCUACAAGGACUAAAAUAAAAAAAAAAAAAAUUAAGAAUUUAAGAACCAACAUUGUAACACCCUAAUAAUCUCAUAUUAGAUAGAAAAAAAAUUCUAUAUAAAAGUAUAACAACUAAUAUCCAAGAUUCCAACUCGAAAGUUUGAGGACCAAAAUAUAAGGGGGGUAAAAGUUUACUUUAGUGUGCAACUAAUCCAAACUUUUAUGCAAUUUUAUUUUACAUCUGUGUGGGGGAGCUAUUGGGGGUUAUUUUGGGUACUUAUUAGCUUAAUGUUAAAUAUCCGGAUAAAAAGGGUCAGGAAAGGGGAACAAAUGGGUGGACACGUAUUAACAAAAAAAUAAAUAAAUAAAAAGCGUGCGUGACACAGUUGUGUACUAAAAUAAAAUAAAAUAAAAUGGAAGGUUUGGUUGCAAUGUCCGGAGAUCUCUAUAAGGUAGUUCUGAAAUUGACAAUUAAAAUAUAUCUCAACUGUCAUCUGAUCCGACUAUUUAAUUUUUAAAAUUUUUAUUUUAUUAUCUAAUUUUUAACUUAUUUAAUUUAAGUCUGGACCGCCUGGUGACGGUGAUAACUCUUAGUUUUAAAAUAUAAAUAAGUCUAUAUUCUCAACAUUUUACAUAACUAUAAAUUUAUUAAAAUGGACAAUUAAUUUAAAUUUUAUAUUGAAAAAAUCAUUAGAUAAAUUAAAUUAAAAUAAAUUGAAAGGCUGUGUAUUAAAAUUAAAAUUUUAAAAGAUGGGAUAGUCAAAAAAAAAAAAAUGGUCUUUAGUUUUGCAAAGUGCUAUACAUUUUUACCUUUUUUAUGGAUUGAGAACUCUUCGGCUUUUGAUUUUUUAAAAUUAAGUAAAUUUGGCCAAACAAAUUAAAAAUUUUACCAAAUGGAUUGAUAAUUAUAUCAAAUUUAAUAGAUUAAGAUAUUUUAUAGUGAAUAAAUUUAAUUAAGUAAGUGCUGCUAGCUAAUUAUGUGAUGGAACUUGUUAAAUUUUUUAACUUAAUUAACUAUAAAAAUUAAAAUUAUUAAGCACUGAAAUUCAGUAUAGUGCACUAAAUUUAGCUAAAUUGACAAAGUGAGAAUUAAUGUUAUGUUAGACAUGAUUAAAAUAUAUAUUAGGAGAAAUUUUGGCUGAAUUUGAAAUGAGUUGAAAUCAAUUUUGAUUGAAACAGAGUCUCAGAAGAAAUGAAAAGUUGGCUUCCCGGACUUUCAAGACGCUCAAGUAUUAUUUCCGCCGCCUGAAAUAUUUCAGCAGUUGAGCACCCUAUUCAAGCGGACGCUUUACCCGAGAGCAAGAUUUCUCAAACAGAUAAACAUUUGAGCAUCCAAAUUGUCCUACAGGCAUCUAAAAUCUUCCAAACUGCUCCUGUAGGUGCGCGGUUCCACUUCCAAACAAUCAAGCCCAGAAGAGGGGUCACUUGUCUCGUUAAUUAAUAGGGCACCCAGUUUUUCUUGCGUCCGUCUGAAAACAGUAUUGGGCGGAUGAGCGCACGGGCGCUUAGACCAACUUCCGGAUACUGAACCUAAGACUUUAGAGCUAUGCCCGAAAGAUUGGACGGACGGGUGCUUGAAAUCUGGUCCAAAGGCAGCAGUUCGUUAAUUACAAAUACGAAUGAUUGGAGGAUUUGAAUGCAGUUGUUGUUGGAAAAUAAUACAAAUCUUAUCAUGUUAGUGGCCCUAUUAUUGUACAAAUAGUGUGUGCAAGUAGUGGGUUAAGAUCAUGUAGAUAGUGGAUAAAUGCAUGCUUUAAUUUGUGUAAGUAGUGAGUAAUUAAUGUUGUGGAGUUCAUGGUAGCUAGUUUCAAGGAGCACAUGUGUAGUGGAUGUAGUGGAGAACAUGUAUGGUUAGGUUUUCUUAAACUUCAAGUUUCUUAUUCUAUUUAAGUCCUUUAAUUGUAAACCUUUUGUAAUCAAGUUUUUGAAUGAAAGUGUUUAAUUUUUCUUCCACUUAAUUGCUAUAGUAAAGUGUAUUAGCAAAGCUUAAAUUACUUUGUGCCACUUUCAUCUACAGUUGUAACACUUAUAAAUACCCCUUCAUAUGCGACACUCCUUUCUCACCAUUUUUUGUUUUCCGUAUCUCUCAUUUUCUCUAUACUUAGUUAUUUCUAAAAGAGAAAAGAAAACCCUAGGCCAUUAUUGUUGCGAUUUUGGAGCUCGAUUUCUUAACAAACUUGGAUAAGGACAUGAGCACUCGGAAGAAACUCUAGUAGGAGGAGGAGACAACCUUUCCGAGCCCCAUUUCUCUUGUUUGGAGAAAUACAUGUCACAGGUGGGGUAGAGUUUUUAGGGUUUAAAUUUAGAAAUUUUUUCGAAUGAGGGUUUUGAAAGAUCUAACUUGAUUAGAAUUUCUUCUUUACAAUUUCUCGGGGGCCUCAAGAGCUUAAGAAAUAUUUUCAAGGAAUUUACAAGGAAAUGUAGAACAUAUCACCUAAAUAGAUUUAAUCUCUCUUUGUCUAAAGUAUUCUUAUUUCAAUGUUUAUAGCCUAAGCUUCCAUAUUCUCUUGAGUAAUAUUAGGUCAAUCUUAAUGGAUUUGCAUGAGACAAGCUUUGAAAAAUUCAUGAGGGUUUAUGAGCACAUAACCAAACAUGUAGAUAUUUUUCAUCUUCUUUAUAUGUCAUAUAUACCACCUAAAUAGCAUGCUUUAUGAGGAUAUAUGGACUUGGUUGACAUUGGUACUAUACAUUGGAGAAAACUUAUGGCGACGAACCUAGUGACAAAUAGGUAAAUUAUGAGAGCUUGUUGUAAAUGACAUGACAAUAUAUGGAUAAACUCAUGGGAUUAACCCUAGCGUUAAUUGAAACCUAGGGAGUAAACUAAGAGAAAAGUAAUGGCGAAUGUGGAUAAUGGCUUUUAGCAACGAAUAGAUGUUGUUGCAAUUAAGUUUAUUUAGCAACGAUAUUAUCCAACCGACCAUCCUUAGAGUAAGUGGCAAAGGAUUUUGUGGUUGGUACCCGAGACCCAAGUUCGAAUCCUAGUUGAUUCACAUUUCCAGCUAAGUUUAUUUCUAAAUGAAAUAAACGAAGCGGAUAGCGUGCUACCUAUCUCUCAAAAAAUAUUAUCCAUAUAUAUAUUUAGUAAUAAUAAUUCGGCAAAUAACGACCAUUUAUUUUGCUGCUACUAGUACAUUUAUAGUGACAAAUCUCUUAUCGUCGCUAAAUAUAGCAGCUAAUAGCGACCAACUACUUUACUUCAUUGCUAAACAGUUUCGGCGAUUGGGAGGUAGCAAUGAAGUAGCGGCAAAGAUAUUUUUGUCGCUAAAUAGCAAUAGUGACGAUCCUAUAGCAACAAACAAUGUUGGUCGCAAAAGGCCUAAUUAAAUAGAUUUUUAUUAGUGAAUUAUAUGACUCGCCUCAACUUGCUAAAAACUCAUCGUAAAAUUGAUUUUUAUUAUUGAGACUUCCAAUCAACUUCAAAGAAAAGGUUCUAACCAUGUUAGAACUAUUGAAACCUUCUACUCAAAAAAUCCUAAAAAAUUUCAUUCACAACCUUCAAAAACUAAUCUAGCAUAGUGAGGAAUGGUAGGAAGAGCAUAAACCUUCUUUAAAAGGGACAAAAAUGAUGUUUUAGAGUUUUGAAGGAGAGUAAAGGAGAAGAGAGGCCAACUUGAAAUAAAUUUUUGAUUGGUAAGAAUUUAAAAUAAAUUUUUGGUGGAUACAACUAUAUAUUGAAAGUGGUGUUUUACACUCACUCGGUCUAAAAGAGACAUAAGUAGUACGGUAAUAAAUAAAUAAAAUUACUACUACAAUAAAGGAAAGCACCACAACACAUACAACUACUAUGUCUUUAUCAAGAUAGCAUUGCACCAAGGUAAUAUGCUGCUUGUUAAUGUCCAAGGAAAAAUCUACUCGUGACGGUUCUUUUUUUUGUAGUGGACUCAAUAGUUCAGUUCCAAUUCCUUUAUAAAUACCUUAUAGAGAGUCGAUGGUGAUCGAACUUCUUUCCAAUCGAUAAGCACUAGGUUUUGAGGAUAAUAGUACUCCCCCGUGUUAAGGUAUAAGGGAGUUGAAGGGGAUCAAGCUUUUCCCAUGUUGACUUUACUACAAUAAUUAAUAUUGUGAUACGAAGAUAAAAUAUUUAGCAAUGAAGUGUUCUUUUAUCGUUAAAAACAAAUAAUUAACAACUAAAUUUAAUGUCCAUCUCAAAAUGAGAAAAAGUAAAAAUUUUGUAGAAUGUCAUUAGCGACAAAGUAAUUUUAUUGCUAAAGCUUAGUCGCCAUCAGUUUGAAGGGGAUAAUUUUUUUUGCACCAGGUCUAUCUUAGUGACAAGAUAUAAUUAACAGUGACGAAAUUUGACGUCACUUUAGGGUUCAAUAAUUAGCGACCAAAUAUGUGAUUGCUAGAAUAAUACUUUGAAGGCUGCGUUUGGUUCAAGUAUAAAUAAGAACUGCUUAUUUCAGGAAUAGAUACAAGUUCAGAUAUAAAUAGGAAUUAAACCAAUUUUGCGUUUGAAUGAAAAUUGGGUUGCUUCUAGGAAUAAGGUAAAUAGUAUUUAGAUAGUUAGAUUGGAACAAGAGAAAUAAAAAGUUAUAAUUUUAAAUUAUUUUAUCUGAUUAAUUAACAUCAAAAUAUUACCUAACAUAAUUUAAGAAAUUAAUAAAUUUAUUAGCUAUUAAUAUUAUAAAAGAUAAUAAAAAUAUAUUAUUUAAUUAAUUAUAAAAAUAAUUUAAUUUUUUAAUUAGUUAGUAAAUUAUUUUAGUUAGAUAAGCUAGUAAAAAAAAUUAAUUAGAUUAAUAGAAAUAUUAAUUGUUGAUCAAUAUAAAUAUUAGUUUAUAGAUAAACACAUUAAAUUAUUAAUAAUUAAUUAUAAAUAAUUAAUUAAUUAGUUAAUUAUUUUAUUAUUUAAGAAAUAAAUAAUGAUUUAAAUAUGUUAAUUAGAUUAAUUAAUAUUUUAAUACUAUAAUUAAAAUUAAAUUUAAACUUCAAUUAACCUUGUUCCCACCUCGGAACAAGCUUGUUCCAGAAAAAAAGUGGAACAACCGUUCCAGCCUUAUACCAGUUUAUUUUAGGUAUUUUAGGAAUCCGAGAAUUACUAUUUUCAGGUACCAAAUACAGUAUUUGAGAACAAAGAGAGGAAUAAGGGCUUAUUCCUCUAUUGUUUCCAAACCAAACACUGCCUUAGCAACAUAUUGAUAUUUGGUUGUUAAUACAUUAAAGAUCUGCUGCCAAUUAUUUUUGUUGCUUUAUGUAUAUAAAAUAAAUUGAGCUAUUCUAUUUGGUUGAAUUAAAAAUUUUAUUUAAUUUAACGAUUAUAUUAUUUAUUAGUAUUUAAUUCUUCUAAUUUUAUUUAUUAAAAUUUAUGCAAUAUUGAUAAUUUAAUAUAAUUUUGAUCUCGUAUGAUUGUUUCGAAUUUCAACUUGAUUUUUUCGUUGGUAGAUUCUCAAUUUUUUUAUCUAAGUUAUUUACUUAGUUUAAUUUUGAAUAUUAAUAAAUUUAAUGACUCCAUUUGCUAUUAGCUUUUAAUUGGUUUAAUUUUAUUUAACAAGAAAUUAAAAAACUGUUAAAGUUGGCGAAAUCAUUAAUUAAUUAUGAAAAUACUAAAAAUUUUGUUGGACUGAAAUUACUUAAUUCUAAACAGUAAAAAAUAAAAAAAUGGAAAAACAUAAAAAGAGGAUGUUUUUAAAAUAAACUAUAAGUUGGAGGGGCCUAAAAGCAAUUUUCCAAAAAAAAAAAAUACCCAUCCUGCCUGCAGCGGUCUCCUCCAUGCUGUUCCAACUCCAGAAGCUUCUACCUGUUUUUUUUUUUUUUUUCUUUACUUCUUUUUACUUUUCUUCUCUCUCAUUAAAAAAAAAAAAAAAUCGCCCAUUUGCCCUCUUUAUUCUUCCAUCUGUACGAGACAACUCUCAGAAACCCUCUUCUAAUGAUAAUGAAAUUUUUAUGACCGAGUAAAAAAUUUGUGUUAAGAUAUUUGGAACUAUAUGAAUUCAUAAGUUGGUGAGAUCAUAAUUCAAAGCCUAAGUCAUGAUACAAAGUUUUAAAAAUUCAAUCCUCACCAAGGAUUAAAGUGAAGUGGCACGGGGUGGUGCCGGAAACUUACCGGCACGAUACGGCAUGGUGCGUACCGGAUCGUGCCGAUACGUGCCGAUCAAAAAAUUAUAUGUAUGCGGAUACGUAAUAGUAUGAAAUGUUUAUUUUCUUUAGCAACAAAAUAUGCAAAUUAUUUAUUAUAUAUUUUUAUCAAUUUUUUUAAUUUUGUUGAGAAAAUUAUUUAUUAUAAUUUAAAGAAUAGAAGGUUUUGAUUUGUGCCAUUGGCACGAAGGCAGUAUCGUGUCGAUAUCUUACUGGCACGAUACGGCACGGUGGAUACGAUCCGUGCCGUUGGGCACUUUAAUCCUUGAUCCUCACAAUUGUAAGAAGAAUUGACAUAAAGACUCUUCUAAAGACUUUGCAGUCUCAUAGUGAGACUCAACAAUCUCAAAUUAAAACUCAACGUAAAGAGAUUGAAUGGUUAAACAGUAUCUAUCUAUUCCUAUACAUUAUUUCUCAUGAAAUUUGCCACGUGGCAAUUCCUCCUUCACCCCCUCGCCACACUUUUUGAUGCUUCGCCUUCCCACCUUAUCUCUACCUAAUGCUUCGUCUUUCCACCCGCCACUUUCUAAUUAAUGUAUUCAUAUGAUUUAUUUUUAUCUAAAUAAAUUAUUUUUAAAAAAAAGAAUAUCUAUUUGCUGUUGUAACUUUUAUUACUGUUAUGUAUAAUUUAUUUGCUGUUAUAACUUUUGUCACAUUUGUAUAUAUCUGUUUUAUAUUUUCUAUUUGUAUUUAUUGAUGUCUCAUUACAAGUUGAAAAAUUUUAAAAUUUAAACUUUGUCAAUCUUUUAUCUUCUAUAAUAUUAGCCCGUCGCAAUACACGGGUAACUUCACUAGCGGAGAGUUCAGAUGCCACCAAAAAAUGAUGAUUUUAAAACAUCUACUAUGUGGUAAGUAAGAUCGUUUGGAGUAGUUUUUCAAAUUUAAUUUUUCUUAUAUUAUUUGUUGGUCAAAUUUUAUAUACGUAUAAAAAUAAAGAAUACACAUUAACAAUUGUCAAAUAAAAUAUUUUUUUACAUCAAAAGGACCUUUUUUUUGCUUACACAAAAAAUAACGAAGUCAAUAAAUCCAAGUACUUAUUUAUCCUGCUUGUAUCAUCAUUAUUUUACUAUCUUGUAAAGUUAUUUAAUAUAUUAUUUAUACAAAAUAAUAAUUAACUAGAUAAAAUUUAUUAUCUUAUUAUUAAUAAUAGUUUUAUAUUUUUUCACAGCAUUUGGUUCAAGGAUAAAGGGGGAUAAGAGCCCCUUCAUACCCAAACACAAAUUUUAUAUCCGAAAGUAGUAGUUCUCGGAUACCUGAAAAUAAAUUUGUAUAACUCGGUAUAAGUCUCGAAUUGCUGCUCUACCCCUUUUUCCGGAAUAAGCGGGGACAAAAUUAAUUAAACUCUAAAUAUAAUUUUAAUUAUAGUAUUAAAUUAUUAAUUAAUCUAAUUAAUAUAUUUAAAUUCUUAUUUAAUCUAAUUAAUAUAUUUAAAUUAUUACUUAAUCUAAUUAAUAUUAAAUUAUUAUUUUAGGAUAAUCCAUUAAAGGUGGGAAUUCCCAUUUGAGAAUUCCCACCCCUAUUUUUAUUUUUAAAAUUUAAAAUUUAAAAUUAAAAAAAUAAAAAUUUAAAAUUUAAAAUUUUUUAGAUUUAUAAUUUUUAAUCUCAAAAAUUAAAGUUUAUAAGUUUAAAAUUUUCAAAUUUAAAAUGUAAUAUUUAUAAUUUUUAAUUUAAAUUUGACCUUAAAUUUAAAAUUUAAAAUUUGAGAUUUUAAUUUUGAAUUUUAAAAUUUAAAAGUUAAAAUUUAAAAUUUAAAAAUAUAAAUAUAAAAUUUAAAAAUAUAAAUAUAAAAUUUAAAAAUAUAAAUUCAAAUAUAAUGAGAGGGGUAAUAUCAUUAUUUUCAAUUUAUAACUACCAACUAUUCUUUUUAUUUUAUCUUAUUUAUGAAAACUUUAUUUUUCUUAUUUUCGGAAACAACUCAAUUUUUAUCCAAACACAAAAUUAGUCUAGUUUAUAUCUGAACUUGUAUCUAUCCAUAGAAUAAGUAAUUCUUACUUACACCCAAACCAAAUAAUACGUUUGUGUAGAAAUGUGCAAAUGAACUAUACAGGAGCAAACCAAGUAUAAAAAUUUCUUCGGAUAGAGUUUUGCAUUUUGCUUGAAAAAUAUUGGUGAACAUAUAUUAGAAUGGUUAAUCAAGAUUUGAAUAUUUUUACUAUUCGAGAAAACUAUUUGGUUGGUUAUAUUUUAUUUAUUUGGAUUUGCGCAGAUUUUUUGAAUUGAAAUAUUUUGGAUUGUUUGUUGAAAUAUGAGAAAUUGUCAUAAAAAUAGCAGAUGAUAUUGUUAUUUGAUGAUAAAUGAAACUCUGACCAAACUGUUUGUCACUAAUAUAUAAUCAAAUGUAUAUUUGAUAGAUGAAAUUGCAACCGUAUUAUUGGACGAUGUAAAAUAUUAGUUAAAUUAAUAAAGCUAUUACUGAAUUAGCAACAAAUUAUUCUCGUUGAUAUACUAUGAUAAAAAAUAAAAAAAAAUUUAAAAUAAUAGCUUUUAGCGACGAAUAGAAUUUGUUGCAAUUAGGUUAUAUUUAGCAAUAAAAAUACACUAUCCAAAUGUAUAUUUGCCAACAAAUUGUCGGAGAAUUGGCGACCAUUUAUUUUAUCGCUAUGAGUAUAUUUACAGUGACAAAUCUUUUGUUGUCGCUAAAUGUAGCAGCCAACAGCAACCACCUGCUUUACUUUAUCGCUAAAAUGUUUUUCCUAUAGUGACGAAGCAGCAACAAAUUUUUUGUUUGCCGCUAAGGGCAUGUUUGUUUCAACGUAAGUGGGUUUUUGGUUGAACUAGAAUUCAGAUAAAAAUUACUUCACUUCCGCUCUUUGUUUCUAGCUCUAGAAGUAAAAUUCUAUCAGUUCUGAUGUUUAUUUAGUAGUAAAUAGACGACGUAGACAGUGUAGUUUUAAUUCCAUUUCCGCUGUUUGUUUUAACGAAAACUAUUUAAUCCGUACACGGUAAACUUACCUCCUAAUAAGUGAUAUUACUUUUUAUUUUGUAACUUAGUAAAUAUAAAUUAUAAUAAAUAAAAAAUAAUAUAAUUAUAAAAUAAAAUUGGCCUUUUUGCAUAAAAAAUCCAAUUAUUUUGAUUUUUGCAAAACCGGGCCACCUUUUUCGUUUUUGCAGAUUCGGUCCACUUUUUCAGCAAAUUGACCAAAAUACCCUUAUAUAUUUUUCUCUCUCCUCUUUUUUUUCUCUCUCCUUUCUUCGAUCCCGUCGCCGCGGACCCCCAGCCCUAGACCGACUCCCCCUCUCCUCGCCUCCUCGUCCUCGGCCCCACCCCUACCGCCUCCGCCGCCGCCGCCGCCAACGUAGGAGGAGCGACGGCGUUGGUGGAGGAGAAUGAGCGGCUGCGGCAGAGCAACGCUGCGGUGGUGGCGGAGCUGGCCCCGAGCUUCGCGGCUUCUCCGCUCGUCGCAGCCCGCGGCCUGCGCGGCCUCGUCGACCAGCGCAGGUCGGCGGCCGCCAAGCCCGAGCUCAACAGCGCGAGCACCACCUCGAGCAGCUCCCUCACCAUCGCCGACGAGCUUUCGACACCACCGCCGCGAGAUGGGGCUGCUGGGGCUGUCGCUGUACGCCGACUCUACCGAGCGCUACGGCGUGUAAAACGUCUCCUCAUCCGACGACACCAUCGGCGCCGCCGCGCGCCGCCGAGGCGGCGGCGGAAGGGGCAGCCCCGUCAGCGGAGAUCGAGGGAGUCGAGGUCCUCCGCAGGAGGAAGAAGAAGAAAAUGAAAAAGACCCGCGCGUAUUCUUCUUCGUCGGCAAAUGGUGUAAUGGUGUAAUGGUGUAAUGGCGUAAAUGGUGUAAUGGUGUAAUGGUAUAAUGGUAAUGGUGUAAUGGUGUAAUGGUAAUGGUGUAAUGGUAAUGGUGUAAUGGUGUAAUAGUAAUGGUGUAAUAGUGUAAUGGUAAGGUGUAAUGGUGUAAUGGUAAUGGUGUAAUGGUGUAAUUCUAAUCGCUCUUUUUUUUUCUCGCCGCCCGCCGUUCUCCUUCGAAUCCUCCUGCGCCGUCCCCAUCACCGUCGCGUUCCCGAACCGCACCCUCCUCGCUCCCCCCGCGACCCGCACCUUCCUCGCUUCCCCCGGCGACCCGCACCCCUCGACAGCCCACGGCGCCUCCUCCGCCGCCGGCCGGCAGGGGUCGCUCCGGCCGGCGGCGGAGGAGCGGCCGUGGGGGCGUCGAGGGGUGCAGGUCGCCGGGGGGAGCGAGGAGGAUGUUUGGAAGGGGGGGAGAACGCGCGGUACGCGAAGCACACCCCGCCUCGUGACCGAUCGAGAGGAGACCUCUCUCUCUCUCUCCAUUCUUUUCUUUUAUAUAGAAUAUAUAUAAUAAUAUAUAUAUUUUUUAUAUAUUUUAAAAAAACAUUUUAUUUUAAUAAUAGAUUAUUUAUUAUAUAAUAUUUUAUAAUAUAAAUAUUAUUUAUAAACACUAAUAAUUUAUUUUAUAGUAUUAAAUAUAUACUAUUAUAUAUUAUAUUACAUAUUAAUGCAUAAUAUAUUUUAAAUAUAUUUUGUUUAUAAAUAUAAAUUAUAAUACUAAUAUAUGUAAUAUGAUAAUUAUUAUAUAUAAAUAAUAUAUAUAAUAAGAAAAAAUAUAUAUAAUAACUUUUAUUUAUAAAUUUUUUUUUUCUUUCAACCAAACAACAAUAAAGAAAAACUAAUUAUAUAUUUUUAUUUAUAAAAAUUAUAUUUUUUCAUAUAGCAUUAUAUGCAGACUAUUACAUAUAUUAUAUUAAAUACUUAUAAAUUUAUCAUAUUAUAUAAUUUUAAUAUAUUUAAUUUAUAAAUAUAAAUUAUAAUAGUAAUAUAUAUAGCCUAAUAAUUAACAUACAUUAUAAAUAAAUAAUAUAUAGAAUACAUAAUAAUAAUAAUAAUAAUAAUAAUAAUAAAAAAAUGUACUUUUCUUUUCAACCAUUCAACCAAACAACUAUAACUGAAAACUAAUUUUCUUUUUCUACAAAUCAAACACUGUAAACCGUAAAACAAAUCUUUCACGAAAAAAAAAUUUUCACCAGUUUUACGUAGAACCAAGCAGCCCCUUAGCACUUCCCAACCGGAGAAUUUGGGUUUGAUUGCACCAUUGCUCCCCAAUGUUUGUUUCUUUUGCCACCUUGGUCCCUAACCUAUAACUUU